AGGAGAGUUUGAUCCUGGCUCAGGAUGAACGCUAGCUACAGGCUUAACACAUGCAAGUCGCGGGGCAUCAUGACGAUAGCUUGCUAUUGUUGAUGGCGACCGGCGCACGGGUGAGUAACGCGUAUCCAACCUGCCCCCAAGUAGGGCACAGCCCGGCGAAAGUCGGAUUAAUUCCCUAUGUGGUCAUGUUAUGGCAUCAGUAUAUGACUAAAUGCUUUGGUUGCUUGGGGUUGGGGAUGCGUAGGAUUAGCUAGACGGCGGGUUGACAGCCCACCGUGGCGACGAUCCUUAGGGGUUCUGAGAGGAAGGUCCCCCACACUGGUACUGAGACACGGACCAGACUCCUACGGGAGGCAGCAGUGAGGAAUAUUGGUCAAUGGGCGGAAGCCUGAACCAGCCAAGUAGCGUGCAGGAUGACGGCCCUAUGGGUUGUAAACUGCUUUUAUGCGGGGAUAAAGUGUGCCACGUGUGGCAUAUUGCAGGUACCGCAUGAAUAAGGACCGGCUAAUUCCGUGCCAGCAGCCGCGGUAAUACGGAAGGUCCGGGCGUUAUCCGGAUUUAUUGGGUUUAAAGGGAGCGUAAGCUGCCUGUUAAGCGUGCAGUGAAAUGUAGGUGCUCAACAUCUGACGUGCUGCGCGAACUGGCUGGCUUGAGUGCGUUGAAGGCGGGCGGAAUUCGUGGUGUAGCGGUGAAAUGCUUCGAUAUCACGAAGAACUCCGAUUGCGAAGGCAGCUCGCCGUGUCGUUACUGACGCUGAAGCUCGAAGGUGCGGGUAUCCAAAAAGAAUAAAUACCCUGGUAAUCCCCUGAAAUCUGCCAAAAACCAUC
rnacentral:rRNA from 1 species